GACGAACGCUGGCGGCGUGCUUAACACAUGCAAGUCGAACGGAAAGGCCCUGCUUUUGUGGGGUGCUCGAGUGGCGAACGGGUGAGUAACACGUGAGUAACCUGCCCUUGACUUUGGGAUAACUUCAGGAAACUGGGGCUAAUACCGGAUAGGAGCUCCUGCUGCAUGGUGGGGGUUGGAAAGUUUCGGCGGUUGGGGAUGGACUCGCGGCUUAUCAGCUUGUUGGUGGGGUAGUGGCUUACCAAGGCUUUGACGGGUAGCCGGCCUGAGAGGGUGACCGGCGACAUUGGGACUGAGGUACGGCCCAGACUGCAACGGGAGGCAGCAGUGGGGAAUAUUGCGCAAUGGGCGGAAGCCUGAUGCGGCAACGCCGCGUGCGGGAUGACGGGCUUCGGGGUGUGAACCACUGUCGCCUGUGACGAAGCGUGAGUGACGGUAAUGGGUAAAGAAGCACCGGCUAACUACGUG
rnacentral:rRNA from 1 species